ensembl:lncRNA
GCGACCCUGCUGAAGCCACUGUCCAUUGCAGCACCACCACAGCACGAUGACGUACAUGGAAACCUCCCAUCGUCAGAACAGCUACUGGCUCCAGUCCAAUACUGCGUUGAACUGCCCACGGAACCGGCAGAACAUUUCCUGGUUCGACUACAAGCUGCCUUUGAUGACUGCAGUGACCUUGCUCGUCCCAACGAUUAACCUGGACACGCAUGCUGCUGCCACCCCCACUUCACAUCGUGGACAGGAUGACCAAAUGGGACACUGGGUACGAGAUUGCCCCAACAGAAGAAGAGGAAGAGGAAAAAGAGGAAGAGCGAGAAAUGGUGUGAUGUGUGCUUCUGCUGUGGCCGAAGCGGACAUUGGCCGAGAAUUUGGCGUUCCUGGUGGUGAGAGACGUGGACACAGAGGAGGACACGUCCACCAUGGACAACCCCAAUUGGGCUGAAAAGGUGAAGCGGGGUGGAGCUCCAGACGAAGGCGCGGCCGCAGUCCUGGAGGAAGUUUCAAAUAAGGUCAUGCAUACCUACACUGACACUCACGUUCAAUACAAAAACAUACAAACAUUCCACACUCCCCAAUACACACUGAUACACGCUUACACUCCCUGCACAUUCCACACAUCCUGCUUCCUCUGAGAAGGGAAUUUUUUUUCUUUCCUCAUUGUUGAUUGUAGUGCAGCCAUGUGAAGCACAGUGGAAGAUAUAUUUACCCAAAGUAAAAAAGGAGGCUUCGCGUUUAUAUUGUACUGCAAUUGUGGGUUUUAUUUUAUUGUGUUACCGCAGCCACAGCAUUUUAAUGACCAAUGGUACGCUGUAUUAUUUUUUUCUUGAUUUAAAUGAUAGCAUUGAGAUGACAACAUAGUCCUGGUUAUGACUUGCGCUGUGCCCUUUUUGUUUCCUUGAACCCACACUCACCACCAAGCUGGAGCAUCUGGGACUCAGCUCAUCUUUCUGUCAGUGGAUCUCCAACUUCUUAACUGGGAGACCACAGACAGUAAGGAUGGGCGGACAUGUCUCAGCCUCCAUCACUCUCAGCACUGGAGCCCUGGUACAAGAGGAACAAUCUCCACCUGAACGUCAGCAAGACAAAGGAGUUAAUUCUGCACUUCAGUACCAAGCAGGAGAGGACCUACCAGACCCGUCAUCAGCAGGAGCCCAGUGGACAUAGUGGACAGCUUCCGUUACCUCGGUGUUAACAUCACGCAGGACCUGUCAUGGUCCUGUCACAUCAACACCGUGGUGUCUCUACCACCUCAGACGCCUGAGAGACUUCAGACUGCCCUCCAAGGUGCUCAGGAACUUCUACUCCUGCACCAUAGAGAGCAUCCUGACGGGAAACAUCUCAACCUGGUUUGGGAACUGCACCAUGAAGGACAGGCGAGCCCUACAGAGGAUGGUUCCAUUAGCUGAACGCAUCAUCUGUACCAAGCUCCCUGACCUUCAAUC